UCUUCAUUUCUCGUGCUCUCUCGCCGGUCAGAGAGGCGAGAGAGUGUGCGAAAUGAAGAGG
rfam:Pristionchus pacificus strain PS312 contig4050, whole genome shotgun sequence.